rnacentral:lncRNA from 1 species
AUUAUAAAAGAGUUCCAUGUUUUACGUUAAUCUCAACAAAUAAGAAUAACUUCCAUGGUGAAGAAGUUAGGGUUCUAUAAAUUAAAGAAAUAGAAAAGAAAUGGAAACUAAAAAGAAGAUGCAAGCUCUCUCCCAAGGUUCUUAACAGCUACUCCAUGACCUAAUUGCGCCUCCCUUUCGUGUCAACGCCUCCAACUCGUAGCUCCUCUCCCUCAUCAACCCUAAGAAGGGAAAAACAUCAUGGAUGAAGAUUGAAUACCUAAAGGAGGAGUGGGAGAGCUUCCCAACACCCAGAACAACAUUCAAUAGCCUCUCUCACUCGUCAUAGGUUGAAAGUGAAGUGUGGGAGGAAAAAUAUCUCCAAAACCUCACAAGAAACAAGUUUAAAUAAUCCAUUUUAACAUGUCAACGAUGCCACCGCUCAAUGCCAUAUUAGUACCGAGCUCUGUUAGUUAAAACACACAAGGAGAUCUAUGUCAAACCAUCACUCAACAUCAUUUUUCACUGCUGAGCUCUAUCCUGAUGGAGCUCAGCCCUACUAUUCCACCAUUCGGC